UGGGGAAUAUUGCAGCAAUGGGCGAAAGCCUGAUGCAGCAACGCCGCGUGAGGGACGACGGCCUUCGGGUUGUAAACCUCUUUAGCAAGGAAGAAGCGAAAGUGACGGUACUUGCAGAAAAAGCGCCGGCUAACUACGUGCCAGCAGCCGCGGUAAUACGUAGGGCGCAAGCGUUAUCCGGAAUUAUUGGGGCGUAAAGAGCUCGUAGGCGGUUUGUCGCGUCUGCUGUGAAAACCCGAGGCUCAACCUCGGGCCUGCAGUGGGUACGGGCAGACUAGAGUGCGGUAGGGGAGAUUGGAACUCCUGGUGUAGCGGUGGAAUGCGCAGAUAUCAGGAAGAACACCGAUGGCGAAGGCAGAUCUCUGGGCCGUAACUGACGCUGAGGAGCGAAAAGGGUGGGGGAGCAAAACAGGCUUAGAUACCCUGGUAGUCCACCCGUAAACG
rnacentral:rRNA from 1 species